GAGAACAGGAAACACCCUGCCAACCACGGGCCUCCUCUCUGAAGGGAACAGAGUCGGUAUGAUGUAUUCCAGCCAGGAGCCAGACAGCAGAUUUCCAAAUGGUGGGAAACCACCACCCAUGUAGCAGCAAAAACAGGUGGUGGAUUCACAGACACACUGAUGACUGUAUCAAGUCCAAACAUAAAUGCAUGACUGUGGCAUCGUUAUAUUCCAUAUUUUGAGCAUGCAGGACACUAAUGUUCUAUAUGACAUUUUUACACUUUUUCGUUGUAUGAUCUUGUAUGUCUAACUCAUUACUUUAGACAUAUAGUAAAAAAAAAAAAAAAAAAGAUGUAAACUUGAUUUUUUUGUGUGUUUUUUUUUAACCGGGAAAUCAUCUUUGCAGUUCAUUGAAUUUUAGUUUAAACUAAAAGAGCUUAAAGGUUUUAGAAAAUUAGGCAUGUCUUGCCUUCGUUUCAACAGCAUUUUUAAUGACAGUGAUUUAAUUCUUUUUCACAUAUUUGGAUCACUAACCACGGUAAUCUGAGGAUGAGAGGUUUUAGUGUCAUUUCUACUGCUUUCCCAACUUUGGCUCCGAGCAAGUGAAAAAAUACCCACAGAUGUAAGGGCGUGUGAGGCUGGCAUGUUGCGUCGAUUGGGUCAAAUGGAUCCCCAACAAGUGGAUAAUCCAGCUUUAGCACACCUCUCUGUGGACAAUAAUCUGCAGUCAGUCAGAUAAAGAUGUAAUCUUGAAUGAGGUCCAAAUGGAUUUUAGAGAUUGUCAGUUUCAUCAUGUUAGCCUCUUUCUGAAAAACCUACAGUUUUCUCUCUAACAGGCAAAUCUCAUGCGGUGUAACUGGAAGUGAACCAGUCACCAAAUGACAUGUAUGUUAUUCCAGAGGAAUGCUAGAUUAUAAACCUCCUUGUUUUACUAGUUUCAGUUCAUUCUAAUAGUCCUGUGGUCGUCAAGCUUUUUUUUUUUUUUUAUAUUUCUAAAUCAAGUAUAUGCCUUUUGCAAAUGCAACGGUACUAAAAGCUAAAACAUUUCACCAGAAAACUUUAAAACCCUUAAUGGUUUCCACUGUAUCACACUAGAAUGUAUUAAACCUGAGCUGCCUUUUAUGCAUCAACAAUGCCAACCUGACCACUAGGUGUCCUUAAAGCUCCAUUACCUCCCCCUUGAUCACUCUGCUAAUAAGUGCUCAAUGAAUUUACCUCUAGCCCUGUUACUCAUAAUUUGUCAGUUAAAGGAGGGCAAUGUGUGUGUUUAACAUUUGCGUUUUCUGCCCGUGUAGCCUUUGUAGAGCAUGAGAGGCAGCAGCCAGUUGUAGGCAGCAGAAGUGAAAAGCUCUCCCCAAACAAGCUCCUCUAAUGCAUGUACUUAACUUCACUUAAUUUGUGUUAAUUCCCAGCAUUACGCACAGCUAAUGACUGUGCUAGUGAGUGCACUGUCAUUACCUUCCUGUGCCUGACAUCAAAUGGCAGCUGAUGGGCUCGAACUAAAAAAAACCCCAGAAACUAAUGCACAGAUUUGGAUGCUCAGUGAGAGCGCUCUAAUGCAUUAGGUAUUGCAAAGGAUAAUUGCGUCUUAUAUUUGUAUACUGUGCAUUAUGGAUAUAUAUCAGUGUUUAAUGAAAUUGUAUUUCUGUGUCAGUGUAGGCACAUAGUACAUAUACCAGUUCAUACAGAAUGUUUCUUUUUUUAACAUUAAAAUGGAAUUUGCAUAAAGAUUGUGAAUAAUUCAUCAAGUCUGAGAGAAGGCAGUUGCAGUGCUCUCUCUCUCUAUUUCCUCGCUUCUUCAUGUGAGUCGACCACAUGGUUUGUAGCUGGUUUAAUGGGAUGGAAUGUGACAGGUUAUGUUUUCAUCUGCCUGAUAUGGAGCCAGGCUCUGGAGGGAGGGAACAAGAAAGAGAAAAAGAUACAAGGCGGAGAGGCAAAGUGAGUUAUAGCUGUAGUCUGGAUUUUCAGGAUUAGAUGUGUUUGUGUGAAUCAGUUAUGUACCAACACACAAACAAAGACACACACACACACACAUAGAAAAACACAUGCUCUGUAUGGGGCCAUUACUGCUGGUCCACUAACUGCCUACAUUUGCUGUGUCUGUGCAUUCAGAGCACCAUUAGUCCAAGACUCUGUGAAUAAUUGCUGAAUGGACCAUGUUUUCACUGCUAUCUACUCAGGUUCCAGUGUUGGGGGUUGAUGUAGUAAACGAAGUGAGAGGGAUGAGGACAGUGAUUGAUGUUUGACACUGGUCAAAAAGACAAUACUGUGUCUUGUACAAUGCGUAUAAUGAAUAAACUUUUUUACAUUUCACAUUGUCCACCUUUACAAACUACAGAAAUGUUCUGGUGGGUGUUUGUAUUACUUUGAUAUCUCUUGAAAUUGUUAUAAAAUGAAAUGUUUCUUCAAAUCAUUUCAGCUGCUGAUGGCAACCAACUGCAAGGCAUCAUCAAUUAUUUUGUUUUCCAAAGGUACAUAUUAUGUCCCAAGUUCAUUUUUCCUCCCCACAAAUACAUCCUCUAU